CAAGCUGGCCAGAUGGCCGCCCGCGGCGGUGACGCUGCGGGAGGAAAGUCCGGGCUCCGCAGGACAGGGUGCUGGGUAACUCCCAGGCGGGGCAACCCGACGGAAAGUGCCACAGAGAACAGACCGCCGACGACCCCCGGAAACGGGGACACGGGCAAGGGUGAAACGGUGGGGUAAGAGCCCACCGCCCCGCUGGCGACAGCGGGGGCACGGCAAACCCCAUCCGGAGCAAGACCAAAUAGGGGGGCGCCUGAGGGCGGUUCGUCCGAUGCUCCCGGGUUGGUUGCUGGAGGGCGGGAGCAAUCCCGCUCCUAGAGAGAUGGUCAUCGCCCCGCUGCCGGUAACGGCGGCGGGGACACAGAACCCGGCUUACAGGCCGGCUUGGACC
rnacentral:RNase_P_RNA from 1 species